AUUUGGACUAUACUUGGCACAGUUGUUGUAAAUAGUAAGUGAACACUACAUGCAAAAUUCCAGCCAAAUCAUACAAAAAUUGCAGCUUCCAUGGGCUCAAGAACGCGUAAGGCUAGCCGCUUGAAGUUAUGCCAUAUCGGUUCAGAUUUGGAUAUAGCUGCCAUAUAAACCCAUCUCCCUAUUUUGCUUCUUGAGCCCCUACAAGGCACAAUUCUUAUACGAAUGGACUGAAAUAUUACACAAUGACUUCUACAAUAGUCUUCAAUUCAUUUAUGAUUCGAAUCGGACUAUAACUUGAUAUAGCUCCAAUAGCAUAACAGUUCUUAUCCAUUAUUCUUUAGUUACCUUAAAAGAGAUAUCGAUAUAUAUAAGAUUCGGCCCGGCCAUAUUUAGCACGCUCUUACUUGUCUAGAUUGUUAAAUGCUUGAAAUAAAAUUUUUAAUUGGCCUAUAAAAUAGUUCUCUACAAUUUGUUGUGCCCUCUUUAUCGUUAAUUACUUAAAAUUGUCGUGCAGAAUAUAGUAAAAAUUGUUGCCACAAGUAUUAUUUUUCGACAACAAUAUUUUUGCUAUAAAAGCCAUUCGAAGCACCUUGAAAAUCAUACAGUUUUCUUUGGAUAUCCAAGCAAAAAACUAACACUUUAUAAAAGUCCAAAAUGAAAUUCUACGCCACCAUUGCUGUAGCUAUCAUGAGUGUCUUGGCAUUUGCUUCUGCCAAUCCUGAACCGAUUUUGCAGACAAUAAGUGGAUUAACUGAUAAUCUUGGCAAGUAAAAGUUUGCCAACAUUUUAGUCUCCAAUUUGAUACUGAUGAACGAGGAAGUGGAAAAUGGCAAAGGAAUAAGCAAAAUAUUAUUGGGAAAUCGAAUUGGGAUUCACUUCAUUGCAAUGAAAGCCAAUAAAAAUACUAGCACCGCAGAAUAUUAAAAUA